GGCUGGCAGCAACGGUCCUACAAAACUUCUCUAUGAAAGACUCGAACCUCUUCUAUAUGAAUACCGUGUAACGGCUUACCUGUCGGGACAUGAUCAUAAUUUACAGCAUAUACAGAUGAAAAGUAAUGGAGCAAAAAUGGACUACUUUAUAAUAGGGAGUGGCAGUAAUGUUGAUUGGUAUCUGGACAGCAAGAUAGUACCGGAUAAUUCUCUUAAAUUCUCUUUCGCUUAUAGGAAAGACGUUGGAGGAUUUGCGUUCCUAGAGGCAUCUGAUUUAAGUUUAAGAAUUGUUUUUAUCGAUAGUGAAGGAAAUGAAAAAUACGAGUAUAAUAUGCUACCGCGAACAUUGCAAAAUGAUGAUCAAGAAACAUAAUAAUUAUAAUGUAUAAUAUAUCUGGCCAGGUUUGAAAACUAAUUAUUGUUCUGUGAUUUUAAUCGUAUCUAAAAAAAUCUAUUUUCAUACUUUAUUGUUUUGUUAUCAGAUCUAUCUAUUAUAUAAGGAAUCAGUCGCAAUUUAACUUAUUGGUACAACUAACAAACUUUCUACACAUGAUUUCUUCAAUAUAGAAUCAAACACUAUUUUUAUAGUCAAAUAUCGGUUUCACUGCUUUUGACAAACUGGGUACAAAUAUGUUACUUUAUAUGUUAUUAAAAUUUGUUAAAUCCAA